AAACGGGAACCACAGGGAGCAGCUGUGGGGAUGGGUGCACAGGAGGGCCUCGCCCCUCCCAGAGGGGGCAGGUGUGCUCCCUCCUGACUCCAGAUUCUCCGUCUGUUGGCUCUUAAGCACCCGCACAAGUCACCCCUGAGACCAGGCUGGCCCUCUCUCCCUUCCCCAGCAUGCUGCCUGUGACCGGAAGCCCUCCCGCAAGAAUAUCUGAAAGCCUACUGUGUGCUGGCCGAUGCGGGAUGUCUAACGUGAAGCGGCACAUUUCUCAGUUGUACAACUUCUCUCAUCCAAACCAACAAAUGUUAAUGAGCACCUACUAUGUGCCUGAAACAUUCUGUGGACUGGGAAUACAAGCAAACAAAAACAAUAACAAGCAAGCAAACAAAAAAUAAUGCCUUGUGGAACUUACCAUCUACAGGGAAGUAGAUCAUUCACUGUGACAUCCAGGGGCUCAGCUGGUCAGAAGGGCCAUGGAGGCAAAAUUAAGCAGGACAGGGGGUGGGGUGGGAGUGGGAGGAGGGGAUGUGGUGCCUGUGCUGCUGGUUGAUGGUUGGCACUGCAUGGCUGGGGUAAGGGCAGGGUGCUUCACAGAAAAGGUGGCCUUUGCUUGGGCGGGAAGACCAGGCUGGUGACCGGGUAUGUCUGUUUGAGGAACAGCAGAGUCUGUGGCUGGAACAAAGACAUCGUGGAAUGUGAGGGCUAAGAGGGGCCUGAGUUCAGAUCAUUUUGGACCUUGGAGGCCAUUGUGGGGAUCUCAGUGUCCCCUCUGAGUGAUAGGGGAGUCUGUGGAGGGCUGUGGAGAGGUGUGACUGGGGAGCCAUGGAGGGGAGAGACACCAUCAACCAUGAGGUUUGCUACUCAUGGAGUGGUGGUACACCACUGGGCCACACACAUUACCAUGUGCAAGGAACUGAGCUGGAGCUCACACUUCCCACAAGCAGUGAAGCAGGUCUGCAGAUGUUUAUCUUUCUCUCCCUCUCUGUCUCCCCCUCUCCCACCCCCAAUUUCUCAUUGUCCUAUCCUAUAAAAUGGAAAGAAAAGGAAUAAUAAUAAAAAAAAGGUAUGGGGGGACUGGCUGCCAGGAGCAGUGGAUUUGUAUUGCAGGCAUCAAGUACCAGCAAUAAGCCAGUUAAAAAUAAAAAGGUUUGCUACUCAUUAAUGGAAAAUGGACAGGCAAUAAGAAUAACACAGUGAAGACAAAAACUUCAGCAAAGCCUGUAAAGACCUAUGAAAAUCUCAGCUGGAAUUUGGAAUCUACUGACCGUGAAUUUAUAGAAGAAUUUGAGGAUGAGCAACAUCCUUGUGUUAUUGAAUCUUUUCACCCAGGAGCAUGUAGUAUCUCUACAGAUAAACUUUUAUUCUUUCAAUAAAGUUUAUAGUUUUCUC